CAGUUGGAAAGAACAGGGAAACGGGUUUUUACAUGGAACACUGAUGCAUGGGGAUAUGGCCCUGGAACCACUCCACUGUACCAGUCACAUCCAUGGGUACUAGUAGUCCUUCCAACUGGAGAAACACUAGGGGUUCUUGCUGAUACAACACGAAAGUGUGAGAUUGAUCUAAGGAAAGAGGGAAU